UACACUCCUACGGGAGGCAGCAGUGGGGAAUUUUGGACAAUGGGCGAAAGCCUGAUCCAGCAAUGCCGCGUGAGUGAAGAAGGCCUUCGGGUUGUAAAGCUCUUUUGUCAGGGAAGAAACGGUGAGAGCUAAUAUCUUUUGCUAAUGACGGUACCUGAAGAAUAAGCACCGGCUAACUACGUGCCAGCAGCCGCGGUAAUACGUAGGGUGCAAGCGUUAAUCGGAAUUACUGGGCGUAAAGCGUGCGCAGGCGGUUUUGUAAGUCUGAUGUGAAAUCCCCGGGCUCAACCUGGGAAUUGCAUUGGGGACUGCAAGGCUAGAAUCUGGCAGAGGGGGGUAGAAUUCCACGUGUAGCAGUGAAAUGCGUAGAUAUGUGGAGGAACACCGAUGGCGAAGGCAGCCCCCUGGGUCAAGAUUGACGCUCAUGCACGAAAGCGUGGGGAGCAAACAGGAUUAGAAACCCUAGUAGUCCCAUGAU
rnacentral:rRNA from 1 species